UCUUUCCUCAUUGCAAAAUCUAUAUCUCAGAAACCCCAUCAAUCUCACAAAAGAUCGGUAUCAUGAAUCUCAUCUCUGAUUUCCCGAUCUCUUAAGAACUCGUUCAUUCACAUUUUUCCUUCACAGAGUUUAUGGUAUGAACCCUAAUAUACCAGAAAUCAAAACUAACCUUUUGACAGGAAAUCUAUAAGCAUAUACUGAGUUUGGUUAACCUAAUCUCAGAUCGAAAAUAAAUCCGGGAAGAGUGGGGUACCAAAUCAAGAAAAAUCAAGGGUAUAUGUGCCUACUGUGGCUUCUCAAGUUGUGAAGGGUAACUAUCCUUACUGAUCCGACGAGCUGUGACUUAUACUUGAAAAACUAAAAGCACAAUCUUAGCAAAAAUGGGAACUUUUUCAGGUCUUGCAGCCGGUAUAAAGCCUGUACUGAACUUCAAGGGUUAUAUGGUAAGAAAUGAGGCAACUGAUUUGGAAUCACUCUAAGAUGGUUGAGGGUAGCUCUGGAGCUGUCAAUGACAUGGAAAGCACAAUGGUGCAGAAGUUCUGGGAUUCUGCCCUCGCUUUAGACCCACCUGAAGAUGAUUAUGACACCCAAAGUGAAAUGUCUGCAUUUAUGGCGUCAGAUAGUGUAGAACCAGGGAAUUCUUAUCCAUCCCUUGGUUUGGGAAAUGCAUUUGCCUUCAAAUUUGAGGAUCAUAAGGGUUGUGUACAUCUGCUCAAUUGAGGUACUGAGAAUUUGGAGGAGAUUGUAUCUACCGUUUUGCAGCUGGAAGAGCACCUGAGCCAAGUUGGUGUCGAUACAACUACCAACAAUUGGAACGAAGCACUUGUUGUGGGUGUGGUGGAUCCACACUUGCUUCCUCCUUGUGAUGUUGUCCUGCUAUGUUAAGAAUGUCAAACUCUAAUAAAAAAUCAUGAUAAGUUAAAGCUUCUCGGUAAUGAGAGUGAAUAACUUAAAUACAACUCUAAAGGAAGCGUUUAUUUCAUUUGAUGAAUAAACUCCCAACAAUAUUUGAAGUUGUUAGUGAAGCUGUAAAGAAGCAACAAGUUAAGGAGAAAUCUUCAGUUUCAAAUCACAGCAACAACAAAUCCAAGCCCAUUUCACAAAGGCAGUGAUUAGCCAACCCACCAGCAAAGUCUUACUCCAAGCCAACGCCUCCUCCAAUAGAAGAUGAAGAGCAAGAGUCUGACCAAGAAGAGGAUUAGCAUGGGAUCUUUGUGUGGUGCAUGUGAUGAGAACGAUGCAUCAGAUCUUUGUACUUGCAUGGCAUACUCAAGUCUCAAGGAACUCGAUACACACAUCAAUUACAAAGUUAGUGAUGAUUUUCCCUUUAAAUGGAUAAACAAGUAGAGUUUAAACAGUAUGGGCAGAUACUUCAGGUGACCAGAGUAGAGUCAAUUGCUAGUAGCCAGCCGGGGGAAUAUCAAUCCCUGGUAAGUACUUCAACUGGAGAUGCUUAUAUUAAUACUUUGAAAUUUAUGGAUAUUAACCUCCGGUUAUAUUUUCUUUGAGGUACUGAUGCUACGGGAUUAUGUUGUUGGUUAAUAUUUUAUAAGACACAAAGUUCACGGCUGUGCAGAAUUAAACUCCCGAGUUUACGAUCCGUACUCACCACCCAACUGGUAGAUUUCCAUACUCUUAAUCAUUUUUUUUUCCAAUUUUGUUAUUCAAUUCAUUGCGUAGUUUUUGUUAUUCAAUUCAUUGCGUAGUUUUUUUCUUAAUGCAACCUGUAACAUUUCCUUUAUGUCAUGAGUUCCCUGCUUUUUAUUGUAGAACGUCUUUGAGGUGUAAACCUGUGUGAAUGAUAUCUGUGUGAAUAUAGAGUAUGAGAACUAUCAUAUUCAAUAGCCGGAUAUAAAAUGAAUCAGGGAUUUGCAGGGAACUGGGGGUAAUCAGUUUUGACUAGGUCAACAAAGACUUGACUUUUUUUUUGUUAUUGCGAAAACUUAGCAACGGAAAAUGUGUUGCUAAAUCUGAA